AUGCUGCCGCUCCCAGAGGAUCAUCAGAGACAUCUCCACAGCCCCUGCACCACAGGCUCUUCCCUAGCCCUGGGACCACCCUCCCUCCCCGGGCUGAGGGAAGUAUCCCCAACCCUACUUCGUGCAGCGAACCACAGUCUGGCACUCAUCCAUGGUACCCCUUGAAACAGUGAGGAAACAAUUUCCGGUCUUACUGGAGGACCUGGAAGUUCUAGAUUUUCUAGGUUUCCUCAGGGUUGCACUGCUCAGUGUGGAACACUUGCAGUGAAAUGGCGAUGACUACUGAAUGUGUGCUGAGUGCAGUAUACACCAAGUACUCUACACAUCUAUAUGCAGUCAGAGACCAGUGAAUCUUGCCAGAAUGUACAAUGUUAGAAGGAAUGCUAAAAGCACAUUCCAAACCCAGAAGAACAUGCAUGAAAAAGUGUGAAUUCAGAAGAACCCGAGGAGUUAAUGAAAAUUAAGAUGGAGGAGUCUGGUUUUUAAGAUUGCACAUAGCAGGGAAGAAGAUGAAUAACUAGAGCUGAUAAACCUUUAAGGUUAAUUCAGGUUUUUUUUACUUUGUUUGAGGCUAGAACUGAGAUAUAGGAACUUAAGCUAAAAAAGCAUGCUGUUACAUGGCUCAUCUAAGACACACUGGUGGAGGCUGUUCCUCAACAGCCAGGUUCUCACCACACCGAGUGAUGUCUCUGACUUU